CUUUGUGGGAAUGGGUAUAAGGUGGUUGGGGGAAACCAUUGGGAUAGUGCUUCUCAAUCAAGGGUGUUUUGCAUGGAUGUGUGUUUGUACAUCAUGUAGGUGCAAGUGCCCAAAAAAGGCUAUAAAAUGGCGUUGAUCUCCAGGGACUGGGGGUAAGUAUAAUGUUGAAUUUUCAUGUGGGUGUUUGGGAUAAACCUACGUUCUUUGAAAGAUCCACAAAUGCUGUUAAUGGCUGAGGCAUCUCUCUCUAUUGUUCUUAUAUUUCUAAUUUUAUGAAUUGUAUGUAUUUUACAGCAUUGAUGGGAAAGGAUACAAAUGAUAGCUUUAAAAAAAUGACAUUAAGAUAUAUUUUAUAAAUAUAAAUGAAGUUUCGUAAAAAUUUUUAAGAUACUUUUAAAGUGACGUAGACAGAACGAUCUCUGUAUAAUGACUCCAUUGAACAUUUACCUUAAAAUUGUAUUAGUAGAAAUGCUUUUUUUCUAUCCUCAUGGUUUUUGAGUUUUGAAAACUCAAAAGUUAUUUUGAAAAAAUAGUAAAUUGGUUCAUAGUUGUCCGAGUCACAACACAAAAGAGCUUCCAAGAACACCACAGUCAAAGACACCCACUGUUCUGUUGGACUGUGUUGGCAUUAGUUUAGCAAACUAACCUUAUCUCUGGAGAGCUUAUGUUUGUUUAUUUAUUUUUACUGUCAAUAUUUAGCUGGAAAAAUAAACAGAAAUAUAAGUAGAAAAACUGUGAAGUUGAGACCCCUAGAGGUCAGUACAUCAAUCUUUGUUCUAAUUACAAUCUACUCCAAUGAUAUGCUAAAUAUUUUGCUUGAAUAUCCCAAAUGAAAUGACAUUAAAAAAAGAGGUAAUUUACAGCGAUAGAAUGUUAAAAAUACAUUUGUAUAAUUAAGACUUCCUAUCACUGUGACAGAUACACUAAAGGAAAACCUCAUGGGAGACAGGUAUAUUGUGUCUUCUGGUUUCCAAGUAUCUAGUCAACCAUGGCUAUGUAAACCUGGUAACGUCAAGUAUCUCAGCUUACGGAGGUCAGGAAGCAGGGAGAGAGCAUGCCUGCCUACACGCACUGCUUUCACUUCCCCAUUAUUCCAUCCCAGCUCCUCUCCUUUAUCAUGUGAUGCCACUCACAUCAAAGUGGUUCUCUCUACUAAGUAAUCUCUUUGAAUCCUCACAGAUUCAUGGGAAAAACAAUAAACAUCUAUUCUUAACCAAAUCAAGAAUAACCAAGAAUAAUGAUCAAAACCCACAAAGCCAAAUAGAGGUGUGAUGGAUAAUCAUAAUUCUGGACUUAAUGGAAGAAGGGCAGAUGGGCAUGUUUGUGGGAGAUUUUCUUAAUCAGGCUCAUUGAGGUGGCAAGACCCAUUAAACUGUGCAUGGAAUCCUUCCCUAGAUUUGGAUACUAGACUGAAUCAAAACCGUUAUCUUCUUCCUGAUUAUGGAUGCUAAGUGGCCAGCUAUUUCAAGAUUCUGUCUCCUUAACUUCUUCAAAAUGAUGGAGUGUACCUCAAAAUGUGAGACAAAUAGAUUCUUCCUUAAAUUACCUUUGCUAAGUAUUCUGUUUUAGCAACAUUAAGAUAAUUAAUAGAAGAGAGAAGUAUUUUGAAGUUAGAAGAAAUAAGUCCUUCCUAUUAAGUAGGAAUUAAGCACCUUAAAAAUGCUCAGUCCAUUUGUAUGCCUGCAAAGUUGCUCAGAGAAGGAGAUUAGAAGAGCAUUCACCUAUGCUCAGGAACCAGUGAAUGGAUUUCAAUUCCCACAUCCCACCAUCUGCAAGAGUAUACAAGAACUAAUAAUACUAAGGAUGAGAAUUAGCAAACACAUUUAAUAAAUAAACCUGAAGUGCUAGUCAAAGGCCCAACUUUAAAACUAAAAUAAAAGCUUAAAGGGUUAACAAAAGCCUCUUCAAAGGAAUCUCUUAUUGACAAUAAAAGACAGUUAAAAUUCUCUAUUCAAAUGUCAAUUGUUGCCAACAACACAGGCUCCUCAAACAAAAGAUUUUCUUUUAGCAGAGCCAACUCCACUCUAUCUGCCAAAAGCCCAUAGAAUGGCCACUUUCCAUUUGGUGACUGUUCCACAAUGAAAUUAGAACUGUUGAAAAAAUAAUGGAAAUCUACAGGCACAUAUGUACUCUGGAUGAAAUAGAAAUAUUUUAGAGAUAUUGUUAUAAAUCUCUUAAGUGCCAAUGUUAAGUUUUUUUUAGAUCAGGGAAUCUUUGAGUCUCUCUUUUGUUUGUCAUCUGUUAUUACUGCACUUGAAUUAUAGAAAAUGAUGGAUUAAAUGUGGCAUUCUCAUAUAUUUGUAUAACGUAGUUGAAUUAUUCUUACCUGAGUUUUCCACCUACGUUCUUUCCCUGGCAUUUCUGAACUUUACUUAUUACAGUUCAGGCAAUUUCCUACCUCCUUUUAGAAAUAAAGUCAUUCCAUAAAGAUAGGAGUCCCUACACUUUCCAAACAGGGAUAUUAAAUAGUAUCUGGUGAGUUUUAUAACCCCUCUGCAACAUCGAAUGGAAGUGUAGGCCCCUAUCCCAGAAAAAGCAAUGAAAAAUCUUUUGCUCAUCGGAUUUUGGAAGAGGAGAUUUUAUUCACUUUUAAACAGUGUAUUAGGCAUUUCUGAAAAGGAAGGCCUGUUUUAAGUCCAAUACAUAACUUUAAUUUCCCAUAGGUUCAUUUACUCAACUCUGCAUUUCUGACAUUUUUAUCUUUGAAGAACUAAAUGAAUUUCUCAUAUAAUUUUCUACUGCUCUAUAAGCAGGCCACAAAGGAGAUAUCUCAGUAAAAUGUGGUCUGCUUUUCUAGAGUACUAGGAAAGAAUGAAUUUCAUGUGUCUGUAUGUACAUAGGUGUGUAUAGCAUGCAUAUAGAUGUACAUAUAGAAUAAUUUCAGCUAACACAAUGCUAAUUUUUAUUUUUGAGUUUUUGAGACAGAGUAUUUCUACAUAGCUCUGCUUGUCCUGGAACUCACUAGGCAAAUUAAGCUGCCCUCAAACUCACAAGAGAUUGCCCUGCCUCUGCUUUUCCAAGUGGUGUACCACCAUACCCUGAUCAAAUGUUAAUUUUUGAAAUGUGAUCCACUGGUUUAUGUUUUUCUUUUCUUUAUAUCCCUUUAGAACUUAAAGGUGAUGCCCACAAUUCUUUUUUUGUGCUUAAUGAGAUUUUAAUUUUAUCAAAUUAUCUUAAUCAAAGUAAAAUGCUGUCCAAUCAUGGAAAAAAAGCCUCCAAGGCCUAGAGAAUAAGAACCAUCAGAUAUAUGAGAGAUGGAAAAGUAACUAUGGUGGUUCUAGGUAAGAAGUUUUCUGUGUUGAUAUUCAGGCAAACCACACAUUGGGAUCCCUGGAUGGGUGCUGUUGAGAGCACACUGGAUGGGAAAGAGGCU
ensembl:lncRNA LOC120102913 uncharacterized LOC120102913